CUGUCAAUGUCUUAUGACACAUAAUUUGGCCUUGAUUCAGCAGCAGUGCCUGAUAUUGCCAUGUAACGUUAUAAGCCAUUCAUUGCUUGCAUGUUUGUUAGCAAGCUAACUAGUUACUUGCAUACCGGUAACUUAAAACGAGAAGGUUAACCAAAGAUAGUGGUCAAAUUAAGAGGUCUCCCUCAAACCGUUUACCAAAAGGUCACAGUUCCAGUCCACUUAAUGGGUGUCGUUGGAUAGGGAAAAGUUUACGCCCGUUGUUGGUUCUCGGAACACCUGACCAAGCCCGCUGCUUCUGGGGCGGGGCAGAGCUCAGCCUGAGUGAGUUCCGCUCCCUCUGACCCUGGUCCCUGUCUCCAGUUCCACGUCUCGUCAUCACUCUACUCUGUCCUGGAUUCCCCACUCUACUACUCCCUUGGAUUCCCUUCCGGACCUGCUUACCCUGUCCUAACCCCUCUCGCUCCAGCCUCAGCCUCCGUACCUGGUUUUCUGCAACCCACCCAAGCUUCCCCUGGCCUGCACUCCAUCUUCCCCCUGUCUUUCAAUAAAUACCUUGGUUACUUCAUCCCA